GACGAACGCUGGCGGCGUGCUUAACACAUGCAAGUCGAACGGAAAGGCCCUGCUUGCAGGGUACUCGAGUGGCGAACGGGUGAGUAACACGUGGGUGAUCUGCCCUGCACUUCGGGAUAAGCCUGGGAAACUGGCUCUAAUACCGGAUAGGAGCCAUUUUUAGUGUGAUGGUUGGAAAGUUUUUUCGGUGUAGGAUGAGCUCGCGGCCUAUCAGCUUGUUGGUGGGGUAAUGGCCUACCAAGGCGGCGACGGGUAGCCGGCCUGAGAGGGUGGACGGCCACAUUGGGACUGAGAUACGGCCCAGACUCCUACGGGAGGCAGCAGUGGGGAAUAUUGCACAAUGGGCGCAAGCCGGAUGCAGCGACGCCGCGUGGGGGAGGACGGCCUUCGGGUUGUAAACUCCUUUCGCUAGGGACGAAGCUUUUUGUGACGGUACCUAGAUAAGAAGCACCGGCUAACUACGUG
rnacentral:rRNA from 1 species